AUACGGAGGGUGCAAGCGUUAAUCGGAAUUACUGGGCGUAAAGCGCGCGUAGGCGGCUUGAUAAGUCGGAUGUGAAAUCCCCGGGCUUAACCUGGGAAUUGCAUUCGAUACUGUCAGGCUAGAGUGUGGUAGAGGGAAGUGGAAUUUCCGGUGUAGCGGUGGAAUGCGUAGAUAUCGGAAAGAACAUCAGUGGCGAAGGCGGCUUCCUGGAUCAACACUGACGCUGAGGUGCGAAAGCGUGGGGAGCAAACAGGAUUAGAAACCCCGGUAGUCC
rnacentral:rRNA from 1 species